rnacentral:rRNA from 1 species
GGGCUGUGCUAUAGASCGAAUUAAGGUUAAACCUUUGAUGAUGUCCACAUUUCMUUGGGGAGACGGAWAUAUAAUAGGUAACUGUCUUGGAAAUUUUAUAGGUGUUUUUAGAGAGUGAUCCUUCUUUGGGGAUUUAUAGAAAAAGUUACUUUAGGGAUAACAGCGUGAUUUUUCUCUGANAGUUCUUAUCGACGAGAGUAGUCNCGACCUCNAUGUURAAUUAAAGUUUCARUUGGGUGUAGUUGUUCAACUAGUG